GUUAAAUAUUGAUUUCAGAAUACUUGACAAGUUAAUUCAGUGGGAAACAUAUAAAGUUAAUUCAAGUGGGAGACGUAGAGCUUCAUAUUGGAACAAAUAAUACGCCAAAACUGUCUGCUGAUAAAUUUCCACCUCCUCCCCAAUUUUCAUCGGAACUGAACGAAUCUGGAACUACACUCUGAGAAUGUUGAGUGGAGGUUGGCGACCGCCCCCCCCCCCACCCCCACUCUUGGCGGCGCGCACUGGUUACUUGUAAUUUUCUACAACGUUAGAUCUGGUAAUGAACGUCUACAAGAAUGCGUGAAACGCACAAUUUAACUAUACGGUUAUAAAAGACGUGAACUCACCUUAUACGUAAUUGGGUUAGAGGAAG